AAUGAGUGGCUGAUAUCGGAUUAGUUUGUUGGUGAGGUAAAGGCUUACCAAGACCGUGAUCCGUAGCGGGUCUGAGAGGACGACCCGCCACACUGGGACUGAGACACGGCCCAGACUCCUACGGGAGGCAGCAGUGGGGAAUUUUGGACAAUGGAGGAAACUCUGAUCCAGCAAUACCGCGUGAGUGAAGAAGGCCUUCGGGUUGUAAAGCUCUUUUGUUGAAGAAAAAAUCUCGUGCAAACGAGGAUGAUGGUAUUCAAAGAAAAAGCACCGGCUAACUACGUGCCAGCAGCCGCGGUAAUACGUAGGGUGCGAGCGUUAAUCGGAAUAACUGGGCGUAAAGGGUGAGUAGGCGGUUUAGUAAGAUAGUUGUGAAAUUCCCGCGCUUAACGUGGGGACUGCGGCUAUGACUGCUAAACUAGAAUAGAACAGAGGAAAGUGGAGUUCCACGUGUAGCAGUGAAAUGCGUAGAGAUGUGGAGGAACACCAAUGGCGAAGGCAGCUUUCUGGGUUACUAUUGACGCUCAGUCACGAAAGCGUGGGGAGCAAACAGGAUUAGAUACCCUGGUAUUCCACGCCGUAAACGAUGAUGGCUAACCGCCGGCGACACACUGUCGGUGGCCAAGCGAAAGCGAUAAGCCAUCCACCUGGGGAGUACGUCGGCAACGAUGAAACUCAAAGGAAUUGACGGGGGCCCGCACAAGCGGAGGAACAUGUGGUUUAAUUCGAUGAUACGCGAGGAACCUUACCCGGGCUCGAACGGCGCCUGAGCCACCCAGAGAUGGGUGGGUCUUCGGACAGGUGCCGAGGUGCUGCAUGGUUGUCGUCAGCUCGUGCCGUGAGGUGUCGGCUCAAGUGCCAUAACGAGCGCAACCCCUGCCGCCAGUUGCCAUCAGGUCAUGCUGGGCACUCUGGCGGGACUGCCACCGCAAGGUGUGAGGAGGGGGGGGAUGACGUCAAAUCAGCACGGCCCUUACGUCCGGGGCGACACACGUGUUACAAUGGCGGCCACAGAGGGAAGCUACCCGGCGACGGGAUGCGGAUCUCGAAAAGCCGUCCCAGUUCGGACUGGAGUCUGCAACCCGACUCCACGAAGUUGGAUUCGCUAGUAAUCGCGCAUCAGCCAUGGCGCGGUGAAUACGUUCCCGGGCCUUGUACACACCGCCCGUCA
rnacentral:rRNA from 1 species